rnacentral:rRNA from 1 species
GAGUUUGAUCCUGGCUCAGAGCGAACGCUGGCGGUUGCUUAACACAUGCAAGUCGAGCGCCGUAGCAGACGGAGCGGCAGACGGGUGAGUAACGCGUGGGAACGUGCCCUUCAGUUCGGAAUAACCCAGGGAAACUUGGGCUAAUACCGGAUACGUCCGUAAGGAGAAAGAUUUAUCGCUGAAGGAUCGGCCCGCGUAAGAUUAGCUAGUUGGUGAGGUAACGGCUCACCAAGGCUAUGAUCUUUAGCUGGUCUGAGAGGACGAUCAGCCACACUGGGACUGAGACACGGCCCAGACUCCUACGGGAGGCAGCAGUGGGGAAUAUUGGACAAUGGGCGCAAGCCUGAUCCAGCCAUGCCGCGUGAGUGAUGAAGGCCUUAGGGUUGUAAAGCUCUUUUGGCAGGGACGAUAAUGACUGUACCUGCAGAAUAAGCCCCGGCCAACUUCGUGCCAGCAGCCGCGGUAAUACGAAGGGGGCUAGCGUUGCUCGGAAUCACUGGGCGUAAAGCGCACGUAGGCGGGUUGUUAAGUCAGGGGUGAAAUCCUGGAGCUCGACUCCAGAACUGCUUUGAUACUGGCGACCUUUGAGUCCGGGAGAGGUGGGUGGAACUGCGAAUGUAAGGUGAAAUUCGUAGAUAUUCUCAAGAACACCAGUGGCGAAGCGGGUACUUGGCCGGUACUUGACCUG